GCUGGGCACAGUGGCACGCUGCUCUAGUCCCAGCUACCCGGGAGGCUGAGGCAAGAGGAUUGCUUGAGCCCAGGGCUUCUGGACUGGAGUGCACUGUGCCACUUGGGUGUCCACACUAAGUUUGGCAUCAAUAUGAUGACCUCCUGGGAAUGGGAACCGACCUAGGAAACAUAGGUCAACACUCUCAUGCUGAUCAGUAGUGGGAUAGCACCUGUGAAUAGCCACUGCGCUUCAGCCUGGGCAACAUAGAGGGACCCUGUCU
rnacentral:SRP_RNA from 10 species